GGGUCGGUAGCUCAGGUGGUUAGAGCGCACGCCUGAUAAGCGUGAGGUCGAGGUUCAACUCCUCCUCGACCCACCA
rnacentral:tRNA from 1 species